UUAAAGUGCAUUAAAUGAAAUGGAAUGAGAUAAUCAACAAGUUAUGACCAAAGAUAGAGAAGAUCAAGGUCAAACAAUAGAAAACAGAGGCAAAAUGAGAAUUAGAAGUCAAGAAACAAAUAAAAUAUUUUUGGCAUUUUUUUAAUAUUGAAAUAAAACUUGAAUUAAAAUAAUAAAGAAAGGUCAAACUUCAAAUUCACUUCACAUCAACUUUGAAAGGUCCAAGUGAAUUAUCCCAAGUUCAACAAGGUCAAAC
rnacentral:lncRNA from 1 species